CCUACGGGCGGCAGCAGUGGGGAAUAUUGGACAAUGGGCGAAAGCCUGAUCCUGCCAUGCCGCGUGUGUGAAGAAGGCCUUCGGGUUGUAAAGCACUUUCAGUGGGGAAGAAAGCCUUGGGGCUAAUACCCUCGAGGAAGGACAUCACCCACAGAAGAAGCACCGGCUAACUCCGUGCCAGCAGCCGCGGUAAUACGGAGGGUGCGAGCGUUAAUCGGAAUUACUGGGCGUAAAGCGCGCGUAGGCGGUCUGAUAAGCCGGUUGUGAAAGCCCCGGGCUCAACCUGGGAACGGCAUCCGGAACUGUCAGGCUAGAGUGCAGGAGAGGAAGGUAGAAUUCCCGGUGUAGCGGUGAAAUGCGUAGAGAUCGGGAGGAAUACCAGUGGCGAAGGCGGCCUUCUGGACUGACACUGACGCUGAGGUGCGAAAGCGUGGGUAGCAAACAGGAUUAGAUACCCGAGUAGUC
rnacentral:rRNA from 1 species